GCGGAAGUGGCGGAAUUGGCAGACGCACUAGAUUCAGGUUCUAGCGGUCGCAAGGCCAUGGGGGUUCAAGUCCCCCCUUCCGCACCA
rnacentral:tRNA from 1 species